AGGUGAAUGAAUAAAUAAAUAGCGGUACAUUUAAAAAAUGGAAUAUGGUUGAUGCUAAAAAGACAGGCGGUAUGAAACCAUGAAGAGAUAGGGGAACCUCAUAUGCAUUUUACUCAGUAAAAACAGCCCAUCUGAAAGGGCUAUAUAGGGUAUGAUUAUGAGGCUGCAAUGCUGACGCUGAUCAUAACUGGGAGGAGGCAUGAAGACAUCCAUGGGAGCUUUGAUCAUGUUCUGGUGGCUGUAGAUGAACUGGGUCAGCCAAGGAGAGAAUGUGGAGCCGCAUCCUUCACCUGAGUGUCCAGGAUGGAAACACCUCUGCCAUCAACUGGAGUUAUUCAGACAGUGGCUCAGACUACUUCCCUUGGUAUAAGCAAGAAUUUGGGAAGGUCCCCAGCUCAUGAUAGACAUUCGUUCCUCUAUGGCCGAAAAAGAAGACCAAAGACUCACUGUUUUCUUGAAUAGGAUGGGGCCCAACACCUCUCCUGCACAUCGCAGCCACCCAGCCUGAAGACUCAGCUGUGUACUUCUGUGCAGCGAGCACACUGUGCUUCCGAGGCACCUGCUGCCUCCACUCAACCCUGUGACUGGGGCAGCCCCUGUCCUUUGGCACAGACCAUCAAGUACAGCAUUUGUCCUAUUGUUUGUCUGCAUGUGGAAACUUGUGUUAGACGUUAAAAACAUAUUAGGUUUUAAGAUAUUAGGAUGGAGAUGACCCAGACAGGGUUAGAGCAUUUUGUUGGAUGACUAUUGUUUAAUGGAUUCUUGAAAUGAUUUAGAAAUGCUUUCUUUUGAAAUUUAGGUUUUAAGAUGACUUUACCUUUGCUAUUCAGACUCCUCUCCUAUGAAUAACUCCUAGGUCCUAGUAACUAACUAUUGUGUUUCAAAAAUAGCGUUUACAAUUUUUUUAUGAUUCUAAAACAUUAUGUGUCAAAGAAAGAAAUAUGGACAGUGGAUAUGUGAAAGCGAUAAAUCUGUUAUCUAAUAAUAAUGCUAACAUUCCUUUUAGUCCCUACAAAUACUCAUUAGAAUUAGAUUCAUGAUUUUUUGGCUUUAUGUGUUUUGAUUUGAGCAUUCCCCACUUCAUCAGUUCUUUCCCUCAAAUGUCUGCUUUUUUAUUUUUUAUUUUUCAUUUAACCUGUACUUUAAAAUUGCUCUGUGAGUUAUUUGAAUGAAGUACAGUUUCGUAUUAAUUUUGUUCCUCUGUAUUUGGGUCAAAAGUUGACAGCAUCUCUAUGUACUUUGGUCACUUUCUUUUCAGAAAUUGUGUCUCUGAUUUUACCUUAUAGGCCAGGGAUGAUAUGUACUGUUUGUGUGUUUGAGGGAAAUUAAGAUAGGGAGUGAUUUGACAAUGUGAGCCUCAGAUAAAACUCAGACACUUAUUCUUGUUUACAAAAUUCUUUAAGUAUCUAUUCAUAAUAACUCUCUCAUAGUAUUUUGGAGAAAGAAUUUUGUAUUUCAAUCACUGCUAUAUUUGCAGUACCUAGGAGAAACUUUUCCACAUAACUGAUUAUUAGUAGAUGUUAAAGAAAGAAGGAAGAGAGAAUUCUUCUACUUAAUUUUAAUUUAAGCUUCAUGAUUGAUGUCAGUUUACAAAUUUAUCGAGGAAAAAUAAAAGUCCUUAAAGUGUA